GUUCUACUUUCUGUUACUAUGAGCUUGACUACUUCAGAUACAUUAUGCGUGCUGGUUGCUUCCACCUCGUGGUCAUUGUGAACGCUGCUGCAAUGAACAUGGUGGUACAAAUAUCUCUUAGAGACCCUGCUUUUCAAUGCUUUGGGAUACAUACCCAGACAUGGGAUUACUGGAUAAUAGGCCUGCCAUUCCCAUAUCCUGCGCCCAUAAAAGGACCAGCUGACAGAGCAAUAUGAAUGGCUAAGUGUUGGGGAUACAAGAAGAGACUACAGAUAGCUGCGGCCAACUUCAGAUGGUGCGACUUCAGGGAAAGAUCACCUUCUUCCCCCACCAUCCCCUUUCCUAUUCCCCAUUCCACUGAGAGCCACAUCCAUUGCCCAAUAAAAUCCUCCACAUAUACUACCCUUCAGUCCGUUCAUGUGACCUGAUUCUUUCUGGACAGCAGACAAGAACCCAUGAGGGCAGGGGCUGGGACAUUGCUCCAGAGCCCACACACAGCCUGCUCUCACCAGAGAGGAGUGACCGGUGAGUUCCAGCAUUCGUAUUUUCGCUCUGGGUCCUGCACUCACUUGCACGCUCCCUC
rnacentral:lncRNA from 10 species